rnacentral:rRNA from 1 species
UAGGGAAUCUUCCGCAAUGGACGAAAGUCUGACGGAGCAACGCCGCGUGAGUGAUGAAGGUUUUCGGAUCGUAAAACUCUGUUGUUAGGGAAGAACAAGUACCGGAGUAACUGCCGGUACCUUGACGGUACCUAA